rnacentral:rRNA from 1 species
UACAGAGGUCUCAACCGUUGUUCGGAUUCAUUGGGCGUAAAGGGUGCGUAGGCGGUCGCGUAAGUCGGAUGUGAAAUCCCAGGGCUCAACCCUGGAACUGCAUUCGAUACUGCGUGGCUAGGGUACUGGAGAGGAGACUGGAAUUUACGGUGUAGCAGUGAAAUGCGUAGAUAUCGUAAGGAAGACCAGUGGCGAAGGCGAGUCUCUGGACAGUUACCGACGCUGAGGCACGAAGGCCAGGGGAGCAAACGGG